rnacentral:rRNA from 1 species
GGUAGAGGGUAGCGGAAUUCCUGGUGUAGCAGUGAAAUGCGUAGAGAUCAGGAUUGGAACAUCCAUGGCGAAGGCAGCUACCUGGACCAACACUGACACUGAGGCACGAAAGCGUGGGGAGCAAACAGGAUUAGAUACCCUGGUAGUCCACGCCCUAAACGAUGCGAACUGGAUGUU